rnacentral:lncRNA from 1 species
AUAAAAUUGAGAAUGGAAAUGGGGAAUGUGUCAAAGAGACAACAACCCGACCAAAUAAAAAACAACAGCAGAGGGUCACCAACAGGUCUUCAAUGUAGCGAGAAAUUCACGCACCCGGAGGCGUCCUUCAGCUGGCCCCUAAACAAAUAUAUACUAGUCCAGUGAUAAUGAACGCCAUACUAAUUUCCAAAUUGUACACAAGAAACUAAAAUUAAAAAAAUACAAGACUAACAAAGGCCAGAGGCUCCUGACUUGGGACAGGCGCAAAAAUACGGCGGGGUUAAACAUGUUUGUGAGAUCUCCACCCUCCCCCUAUACCUCUAACCAAUGUAGAAAAGUACACGCAUAACAAUACGCACAUUAAAAUUCAGUUCAAGAGAAGUCCGAGUCUGAUGUCAGAAGAUGUAACCAAAGAAAAUAAACAAAAUAACAAUACAUAAAUAACAACAGACUACUAGCAGUUAACUGACAUGCCAGCUCCAGACUUCAAUUAAACUGACUGAAAGAUUAUAAUUUCAUCAUAUGAACAUCAGGCAC